rnacentral:rRNA from 1 species
GAUGAACGCUGGCGGCGUGCCUAAUACAUGCAAGUCGAGCGAACGGACGAGAAGCUUGCUUCUCUGAUGUUAGCGGCGGACGGGUGAGUAACACGUGGAUAACCUACCUAUAAGACUGGGAGAACUUCGGGAAACCGGAGCUAAUACCGGAUGAUAUUUUGAACCGCAUGGUUCAAAAGUGAAAGACGGUCUUGCUGUCACUUAUAGAUGGACCCGCGCUGCAUUAGCUAGUUGGUAAGGUAACGGCUUACCAAGGCAACGAUGCAUAGCCGACCUGAGAGGAUGAUCGGCCAAACUGGAACUGAGACACGGUCCAGACUCCUACGGGAGGCAGCAGUAGGGAAUAUUCCGCAAUGGGCGAAAGCCUGACGGAGCAACGCCGCGUGAGUGAUGAAGGUCUUCGGAUCGUAAAGCUCUGUUAUUAGGGAAGAACAUAUGUGUAAGUAACUGUGCACAUCUUGACGGUACCCAAUCAGAAAGCCACGGCUAACUACGU